GCAUAUCAAUAAGCGGAGGAAAAGAAACCAACAGGGAUUGCCCUAGUAACGGCGAGUGAAGCGGCAACAGCUCAAAUUUGAAAUCUGGCCUCGGCCCGAGUUGUAAUUUGCAGAGGAAGCUUUAGGCGCGGCACCUCCUGAGUCCCCUGGAACGGGGCGCCACAGAGGGUGAGAGCCCCGUAUAGUUGGAUGCCUAGCCUGUGUAAAGCUCCUUCGACGAGUCGAGUAGUUUGGGAAUGCUGCUCAAAAUGGGAGGUAAAUUUCUUCUAAAGCUAAAUACCGGCCAGAGACCGAUAGCGCACAAGUAGAGUGAUCGAAAGAUGAAAAGCACUUUGAAAAGAGGGUUAAAUAGCACGUGAAAUUGUUGAAAGGGAAGCGCUUGUGACCAGACUUGCGCCGGGCUGAUCAUCCGGUGUUCUCACCGGUGCACUCUGCCCGGCUCAGGCCAGCAUCGGUUCUCGCGGGGGGAUAAAGGCCCUGGGAACGUAGCUCCUCCGGGAGUGUUAUAGCCCGGGGUGUAAUGCCCUCGCGGGGACCGAGGUUCGCGCAUCUGCAAGGAUG
rnacentral:rRNA from 1 species